rnacentral:misc_RNA from 1 species
AAGUCGUAACAAGGUAACCGUAGGUGAACCUGCGGUUGGAUCAUUAAUGAAAAAAGGCUUCCGCGAAAAAACUGGAGCGGGCAGACACUCGAUCCCGUCGAGACCAUCGAUUGUGGGGAGAGGCAGUUGGCCAGCUCUGUUUUGAAGCGUGAAAACUCACCUUUUGUGAACCGUACAUAUUUUCCACGUCGUAUUUUCAAAAGUCUAAAGUAAAAGUUGAUCUUAUUCAUUUCACGAAUAUGAAAAAACAACUUUUGUCAACGGAUCUCUUGGCUCUC